rnacentral:rRNA from 1 species
AUUGAACGCUGGCGGCAGGCCUAACACAUGCAAGUCGAACGAGUGGCGGACGGGUGAGUAAUGUCUGGGAAUCUGCCUGCUGGUGGGGGAUAACUUCUGGAAAAGGUAGCUAAUACCGCAUUCCAUCGGAUAUGCCCAGAUGGGCUUAGCUAGUAGGUGGGGUAAAGGCUCACCUAGGCGACGAGCCCUCGCUGGGCUGAGCGGAUGACCAGCCACACUGGAACGGAGACACGUUCCAGACUCCUACGGGAGGCAGCAGGGGGGAAUAUUGCACAAUGGGCGCAAGCCGGAUGCAGCCAUGCGGCGGGUAUGAAGAAGGCCUUCGGGUUGUAAAGUACUUUCAGCGGGGAGGCGUUACCCGCAGAAGAAGCACCGGCUAACUCCGUGCCAGCAGCCGCGGUAAUAC